rnacentral:rRNA from 1 species
GGAGGAAUAUUGGUCAAUGGACGGGAGUCUGAACCAGCCAAGUAGCGUGCAGGAUGACGGCCCUAUGGGUUGUAAACUGCUUUUAUAGGGGGAUAAAGUGUGCCACGUGUGGCAUAUUGCAGGUACCCUAUGAAUAAGGACCGGCUAAUUCCGUGCCAGCAGCCGCGGUAAUACGGAAGGUCCGGGCGUUAUCCGGAUUUAUUGGGUUUAAAGGGAGCGUAGGCCGUCUUAUAAGCGUGUUGUGAAAUGUCGUGGCUCAACCUGGGCAUUGCAGCGCGAACUGUGAGACUUGAGUGCGCAGGAAGUAGGCGGAAUUCGUCGUGUAGCGGUGAAAUGCUUAGAUAUGACGAAGAACUCCGAUUGCGAAGGCAGCUCACUGGAGCGCAACUGACGCUGAAGCUCGAAAGUGCGGGU